rnacentral:lncRNA from 1 species
GCUCAGGAGGCUGAGGCAGGAAGAUUGCAAGUUGAAAACCAACUUCAGCAAUUUAGCAACUACCUAAGCAACUCAGUAAGAUCCUGUCUCUAAAUUAAAUGUAAAACAAGGCUGAGUUUAUGGCUCAGUGGUUAAAGCCCCUGGGUUUAAUCCCCAGUAGGGGGAGGGGGGAGGGGGCUCUUAAAAGCUGGGUGCAGUGGCAAAAACAUCUGUAAUCCUAGCUACUUGGAAGGCUGAGGCAGGAGAAUGCUUGAAUCUAGAAGUUCUUGGCCAACCUAAGCAAUAUAAUGAGAACCUGUCUCAAAAAAAAAAAAAAAAUCAUCUUUAUGAAAACCCUGUAAAUUAUGAGAAAUGAAUGUACAAAGGAAUGUACAAACAUGUUGAUGAGCAUAGACUAUGUUAGAUAAACAAAUCCACCUAUGAUCACAAGAGAGACAAGUUCCAAUUGACAGACAUUUUACAAAAUACUUGACCAGGUACUCAAACCAUCAAGGUCAUCAAAAACAAAAACCUGAGAAACUAUUACAACUGAUUAACAAAAAAGAUUGUAUGAUUCAGCUUGACAUGACUGCUGACAUUUUGAGCUAUAACUACUAUGAUUGCCUCAGUGUAAUUCUAGAUAAUUUUUUGUUUGUUUUUUCUUUUGGUACAAGGGAUUGAACCAAG